CUCACGCGUUGAAAAUAAUCCUAUAGGCGUGAUAUCUACGUAUCGACUUUUAAAAGGGGUUGUUAAAGCAUUGAUAAAAGAUGAACGUAAUUGUCCUACAGUUUGUCUAACGCAUAUGCAGCUCCAAUUGACAUGAUCUCUAUUAUGCUAGUUAUACAAAAUCCUAUUGGCAUGAUUUCUGAAUGGUAUGCAAUAUUAACGUCCUACAGGCAUGGUUUCUAUGUGAUUUGCAAUGUUGAAAUCCUAUAGGCAUGAUUUCUACCCAUUGACUGAUGCAAACAACAUAAACCCUUCCC
rnacentral:lncRNA from 1 species